GAACAGAUCCUUAGGAAGCUUAUUCAAGUUAUUGUUUCGUUUUAAUAAUGAAUGCAGUACUCUAACUCGGACACUGUCGUGUAUGUUGGUUGUGGAGAAAGAGGAAACGAAAUGGCAGAGGUAUGGAGUUUUUCCACUCUAUUUGCGAGUUCUUUCUUAUUAUAUUGAGUCACAUAGCAGAAGAUCCUUAAUUUCAGGUACUUAUAAGUUUUUCCACUCUAUUUGCGAGCUCUUUCUUAUUAUAUUGAGUCACAUAGCAGAAGAUCCUUAAUUUCAGGUACUUAUGGAUUUCCCUCAAUUGACAAUGACAUUGCCUGAUGGGCGUGAAGAGUCUGUCAUGAAACGUACCACACUUGUGGCUAAUACUUCAAACAUGCCUGUGGCUGCUCGUGAGGCCUCAAUCUACACAGGUCGGUACUUGCUUCACUCCCUAAUAUUGUUACUAUGUCAAUAUCCCUUGGAGAAGGUCCUUGAUUCUGCCAUUUACAAUUGGUCUUAUCUCAUCAUGUAAUUUUCCUGUAUUAGAUAGAUGCUUGGUGAGGGUGAUUCACAAUCGAUGCUUGCUGUCUUUCCUCUUGCUCUUGAUAAAAAAGAAUGACAAAAUGUCCAGUAGAAUAACUAUAAUUGCUUAGCUUUAGAAUUCUAGCUAACAUAAUUACUCCGGCACCUGUUUAUUAUACCAGAUAAAAGAGUGUUCCACUUUUUGUUCUUUGUAUGUUCAUGUUCAUGUAGAUGUUUUCUGCUGAGUGCUGCUUCCGAAAUAAAGUAUCAUCUUAUAUUCCGUUGAUGUCUUUUACAACAACAACAACCCAAGAUAAUCCCACUUAGUGGGGUCUGGGGAGGGUAGUGUGUACGCAGACCUUACCCCUACCCU
rnacentral:lncRNA from 1 species